GAGCUACUGAAUUUACUAAUUUCUUCCAAUGGGUCUACAUACAACCCUGAGGAUGAAGAUGCAGGGGUUGAAGCUGAUUCUAAGACAACAAAAGGGUCUUCUAUUAUACUGGAGGUUAUCCUGGCCGAAUUUGCUGAUGGUUUCUGGGACCGACUGGACUCUGAAGUUGACCUGGGAAUACUAGGGGAGCUACUGCGACCAAAACCAGGAAGCAAAUCAUCAAAAGCAGCUGAAUCCUUAUCCGCUUUGGCAGUCUCUCUCCUGGAUUCAGUCUCCUUUUUACCUAAAUUCUCCAACAGAUCAUCGAAUGGCGAGCUGUUGUUUUGCGCCCUACGUUUUGGGGAAGAAGCAGUACCGAUCGAAGUAAACGCAUCAUCAAACUUAGCCGAUUGCGGACCCACAGACGAACUCUUGAGACCAGGCAAUCCAUC
rnacentral:misc_RNA from 1 species